UACAGAGGUCUCAAGCGUUGUUCGGAUUCAUUGGGCGUAAAGGGUGCGUAGGCGGCGCGGUAAGUCGGGUGUGAAAUCUUGGAGCUUAACUCCGAAACUGCAUUCGAUACUGCCGUGCUUGAGGACUGGAGAGGAGAUUGGAAUUCACGGUGUAGCAGUGAAAUGCGUAGAUAUCGUGAGGAAGACCAGUGGCGAAGGCGGAUCUCUGGACAGUUCCUGACGCUGAGGCGCGAAGGCCAGGGGAGCAAACGGG
rnacentral:rRNA from 1 species